CAGUAGUCACGUAGUUGAUCCUGGCUCAAGAACGAACGCUGGCGGCAUGCCUAACACAUGCAAGUCGAACGAGACCUUCGGGUCUAGUGGCGCACGGGUGCGUAACGCGUGGGAACCUGCCUUUAGGUUCGGAAUAACUCAGAGAAAUUUGAGCUAAUACCGGAUAAUGUCUUCGGACCAAAGAUUUAUCGCCUUUGGAUGGGCCCGCGUUGGAUUAGCUAGUUGGUGGGGUAAAGGCCUACCAAGGCGACGAUCCAUAGCUGGUCUGAGAGGAUGAUCAGCCACACCGGGACUGAGACACGGCCCAGACUCCUACGGGAGGCAGCAGUGGGGAAUAUUGGACAAUGGGCGAAAGCCUGAUCCAGCAAUGCCGCGUGAGUGAUGAAGGCCUUAGGGUUGUAAAGCUCUUUUACUGGGGAUGAUAAUGACAGUACCCAGAGAAUAAGCUCCGGCUAACUCCGUG
rnacentral:rRNA from 1 species